GACGAACGCUGGCGGCGUGCUUAACACAUGCAAGUCGAGCGGAAUAGUAGCAAUACUAUUUAGCGGCGGACGGGUGAGUAACACGUGGGCAACCUGCCCUAUACAGGGGGAUAGCCAACCGAAAGGUUGAUUAAUACCGCAUAAACUGAGUCACUGCAUGACGAUUCAGUCAAAGGAGAAAUCCAGUAUAGGAUGGGCCCGCGCCCCAUUAGCUAGUUGGUGAGGUAACGGCUCACCAAGGCGACGAUGGGUAGCCGAUCUGAGAGGAUGACCGGCCACAUUGGAACUGAGACACGGUCCAGACUCCUACGGGAGGCUG
rnacentral:rRNA from 1 species